GGGGGGGGGGGGCUACACAUGCAAGUCGAACGGCAGCACAGAAGAGCUUGCUCUUUGGGUGGCGAGUGGCGGACGGGUGAGUAAUGUCUGGGAAACUGCCCGAUGGAGGGGGAUAACUACUGGAAACGGUAGCUAAUACCGCAUAACGUCGCAAGACCAAAGUGGGGGACCUUCGGGCCUCACACCAUCGGAUGUGCCCAGAUGGGAUUAGCUAGUAGGUGGGGUAAUGGCUCACCUAGGCGACGAUCCCUAGCUGGUCUGAGAGGAUGACCAGCCACACUGGAACUGAGACACGGUCCAGACUCCUACGGGAGGCAGCAGUGGGGAAUAUUGCACAAUGGGCGCAAGCCUGAUGCAGCCAUGCCGCGUGUAUGAAGAAGGCCUUCGGGUUGUAAAGUACUUUCAGCGGGGAGGAAGGCGGUGAGGUUAAUAACCUCGCCGAUUGACGUUACCCGCAGAAGAAGCACCGGCUAACUCCGUGCCAGCAGCCGCGGUAAUACGGAGGGUGCAAGCGUUAAUCGGAAUUACUGGGCGUAAAGCGCACGCAGGCGGUCUGUUAAGUCAGAUGUGAAAUCCCCGGGCUUAACCUGGGAACUGCAUUUGAAACUGGCAGGCUUGAGUCUCGUAGAGGGGGGUAGAAUUCCAGGUGUAGCGGUGAAAUGCGUAGAGAUCUGGAGGAAUACCGGUGGCGAAGGCGGCCCCCUGGACGAAGACUGACGCUCAGGUGCGAAAGCGUGGGGAGCAAACAGGAUUAGAUACCUUUGUUAGUCCAG
rnacentral:rRNA from 1 species